ACGAGAAGACCCUAUAAAUCUUUAUAUUUAGAUUAUUAUAAUUUUAUAGAUUUUUUUUGUUAUAAUAAUAAAUGAUAUUUUAUUGGGGUGAUAUUAAAAUUUAAUAAACUUUUAAUUGUUAAAAUCAUUAAUUUAUGAAUAAUUGAUCCGUUAUUAGCGAUUAAAAAAAUAAGUUACUUUAGGGAUAACAGCGUAAUUUUUUUGGAGAGUUCAUAUCGAAAAAAAGAUUGCGACCUCGAUGUUGGAUUAA
rnacentral:rRNA from 1 species